CCAGUCAGGGAACAAGGAGGAGAAGAAGAUGGGUUAGAAGAUCCUGAGAAGAAAGAUCCGCGCAGGGAAAAACUGCAACAAGAGGAAGAUGGAGGAUCAGCUGCAGCACAGAAAUAUCAGUGGAGUUUGAAGGGGCCUAAAAACCAACCCUGGUCACAAGUCCUCAACAGCUGCGCUAAUAAGAGACCACGAGUGGGUGGAAACCUGAACACCUUCUUUUAGAGGUUUGACCAGCCAUCCACCCCUCCCCCAGCCCAGCCCAUCCUGCUGCAACCACUGCCGUUAACACCUCCUGCUGACUGCAUGACCCCCGCUCUAACGACUCUCCCUGUUGUACACUCACACCUCCCUGUACACCCUCUGCUCCCCCUCUUGAGUGGACUACACCCCUCAGUAAAGUCACCCUGUGCCAGCCUGUCCUUCUCCAUGCCCCAGGUACAAAGGGAACUGAAAAGGCUAAAGGUCAGAAAGUCUCCAGGUCCAGAGGGCAUCAGCUCCAGGCUCCUCAGAUCCUGCGCAGACCAGCUGUGUGGGAUUACACAGCACCUCUACACCAUAACACUGCAGCUGGGGAGGGUACCACAGCUGUGGAAGACCUCCUGCGUGGUACCAGUGCCAAAGAUCGCGGGGGAGAAGGGCCUUGGUCAGGGAGGUGACCAAGAACCCGAUGGGCACUCUGGCAGUGCCAAAGAUCUCUCAACCCAAGGACCUCAACCACUACAGGCUGUUGGAACUGACAUUGCACCUGGUGAAGACCCUGGAGAUAUUGGUCUUGUGUCAUCUGUGCCCCCUGGUGAGCUCAUCAAUGGACCCAAGGCAGCUCAUGACUAUGUGUCUUACAAUUUUGUCUGCAGGCUAAGCUAUCAUCGCUCAUCGACAAUGUUUCCCACCCCCUGUAGAGCAGCUCCUUCGGUGACGGGCUUCUUCCUCUGCACUGUGUGACAGAGAGAAACCACAAGUCCUUUCUUCCUGCUGCUUCCUGACUGUUUGACCAGGUCUUCUCCCUGUAAUAUUUUAUUGGGCACAACUUAUAUACAAUAACUUGCUACCCCAAUGUGCAAUAUUGACAAACUAGAUAUUAAUUACAGUUGCAAAUGUCUACUUUUUUCUCAGGUGUAAUAACUCAAAUAAUGUGCAAUUCUUCUCUGUUGAAUUAAUAGAACUGUUUUAGUUUUGUUGUUGUUGCGGUUUUUUACUUUUUUUUCUCUUUUUGUAUAUAACAAUUUCUGUUUAGGUCUAAGAUAACUUUAUAUAAUUACCUGUGCACUUUGUGCAUGAUGAGUUUACUUGUUCUUCUUUGUUUGCUGUGCUGAUCCUUUGCUGCUGUUAUUACAAUACAUUUCCACACCCUGGGAUAAACCUAGGUUUAUCUUAUCUUAUCUUAUCAUAAAACUUAUUGUAAGACAUUUAACCAAUAUAUUCACGACUGUUAUGGCAGCAGUGCAUGAGUGAUGGACUGAAAUUGAAUUGAACUUCCUUAAGGAGAUAAUUCACUCGUUUGUUAGACCCUGAAUGUGAGCUGGGGGUAUUCCAUGAAGCUGGCUUAGCUCAAAGCUUGGCUUAUUUCAGUUAGCUUGGCUAAUUUUAGUGAGAGUUCAGUUCCACAAAUGAGGCUUAGGUCUAGCGUGGCUUGGUAACCAUGGUAACUCAGCCAGCGCAACAGGCCUGGUCCCAGGCAGGCUUACGGUCAAGCUGACCUUAGCUACUUCUCAGAGAAGUUCCGACGGGCUUCCAGAAGACGCUUUGUGAGCCGCAUGUCACACAGUAAUUUCAUCUUUAUCUGUCAUAGACGAUGCUCUUGUUCGGAAAAAUAAAUUGGGAGCUUUUUAAAACAACAUAGGAAUACGUGAAUCCGGACAUGCCCAAUACUACGCCAACCUCAAAGAGAAAGAGAAAUAUUCAGUAGCUGAGUGGGUAAAGAGAAGUGCUGGUAAAAUGUGUUUUUCACUGCUCUGUGGGUUCGAUCCCGUCAGCGGUAAUUAUUUGGAAAUAUCUGAUUUUCUUUCUUUUAUUUCUUUCUGUGACUCUCAAUGUACUGUCAACACAUAACAGAAUAAAGGCACGAAUGAUCUCAUCCAAAACACUGAAGGCGACAACAGCAACAAUUUGCCAUUAAAAAAACCUUCCUUUCACCAGUGGUCCAUUCUGAUUAUGAUGAUGAUAAUGUAAAGGUGAUGGCAAACGACGACAUGACUACUCUGUGUACAAGCUCAUUUGUGUCUUCUCCCUUAUUUAAAUGAAGGGCGCUGUGCCACCAUCAUCCCUAAUUAAAAAGAAAGACAUCUCCAGGUACAUGUUUUUCUUCACUUUUUGUCUAAGUUUGCCUACUUUGGUUUUAGGUCUCACCUGUAGCUGCUAUACUAAUCCAUUAUGGAUGUCUAUUUGUCAAAUCAAGAACAUGAAUUAUGCCUAAAGUACAGAAGCGGUUCUAGGCACAGGCGAACCGGGCAGCCGCCCGGGGCGGCAUUUGUGUCAUGAGUCAUGGGGGGCGGCACGAGCACUUCCAAAAAAUAAAGAAAAAAAUAAUAAUAAUAAUAAAUGUGCACCGCAAAGCAGUUUUGUAUUAACUCUUGUCAAAUUGGCGCCCCCGCUGUUGUAUGGCCCAGCCAGGCUAGCUGUAGGCACCCCUGCUUGCUGCGAAGGUGCUGCACAGAGGCUGACAGACUGUAUGAGUGAGCUGCACAGACACGAGAUGAAAAGUUUUUAAAAAAAAGUGUUUACAGUACAUACGCAGAAGUGAGGAAUAAAAUUAGACAGCCAAGCAGGCUGACUGCAUCGAGACAUGCGUCAGUUGUAAAAUAUUUGUCGGCUAUAACUUAAGAAAUUUAAACGGUCCACGAUACUUAACCACGCCAUCUCCCUGGCUUUCACAAGGGCAACAGUGUUGCCCUUCUUCUGAAUUUUUCCCUUGUAUUCUCCAUUCAACUCCAUGAGGAGUGUUUGCUCCCCCGCUGAGAAAAACUCCGCUCUGCCCUUUUUUUCCCCAUGAUCUCGUCAGUUCGACAACCGAUACGUCGAGGCUUUUUAUGCACCGCGGAAGCGCGCAGAGCCGCGGCUUGGAUCAUCCUGGCUAGAAUAAGCGUCUCUGAAAAACAGCUGAGCCUCGUUAGUGGAACGAGUCGCAGCUACGAUUAAAGUGGCCACUUAUUCAAGCCACGCUUACCGGCGAUAGCCCGGCCUUCUUUAGCCAGCUUUGUGGAAUACACCCCUGGCCUAGGGGAACGAGGGCCGCACACAAUGGAGUGCCCCACUCUUCCCACUCCCAAGAAAACCAGCCAAAGACCACAGAGUGGCAGUUUUAAUAACUUAAGAGGUGAGCAGUGCCAAAACAAUGAACAAAACAGCUAAACCAAGGUCCCUAGCUUCCCUGUAAUAAAAUAAAUCUAAAACAUAAGGCAGCAGAUAACCUAACUCAUAACCAAAAACAGGAGAAAACUGGACUGCAGCCUAAUUAUGUCAAGUGGUUCCGCCUGUGCCUGAGUGGUCAGUGUGGAGCUCCUGAGGGUGUUUUAAAAGGUGAAGCCAACCAUUUUGCCUGAUGUGUGUGGAGCUGGUAACAGCCUGUUGUGAGGCUGGAGUUUACUUUCUGGGUUAGACAUUUUGUUCAGUUGUUUUUGUUGAUUUAAUGCACUUUUUUGUGAUCAAUAAAAUUACCAUUAGAGUGAGACCAGACUGCUGACCUGGGGCCUAUUCUACAAAGCAAGUUCGACCUAGCGAGGUAGUCUUGGAGCUACCUCGCUCAACUUAGCGUGGUAGCCAGCAGUCUCGCUAAACGGUCUUACAAUGCUGGUUAUCAACCUCGUAAGUGGAUCCAGCUUUGCUAUGAGCGCAUGCACGCAUGUAAGGCAGAGCCCACCGCAUCUGACCAAUCGCAAACAUGGACCAGUCUGGAGCGUCAGAGCAGGCCGCAGAGCGGACUUUACAAACGAGGAGCAGGAGACGAUCAUAAGAAAGUAUGAAGAAUUCAAAUCUAUCAUAAACCUUAAAAGCAACACCACCGCCGCUGCAAAACCACGGAAGGAAUGCUGGCAGAAAAUUGCAGACAGUCUCAAUGCAUAAAUAUAGUGCGCAAAAAAUCUUUGAUGCCAUUAUCCCCCUGAAAUAGCACUGUUCAACAUGUGCUUUUAACAUGCACCAGACAGGUCCAAUUCAUUUCCAAGAUGAAUUUAUUCAUUUGUUCAUUCCUAUCAUGUUUACAUUUUUUGUGUGAUAUGUCGGCCAUAUGAGCCUUUCAUAAAGGUGGUCAUCCAGAAAAGUAAGUGAGUCCCUGCGGUCCCUGAAAACUCUCGCGUGCCGGAGUGCUCCUCGGACAAUGCGAGCACCGAGGUCUAUAGGAUCCUCCAAGAACGGAUUAGCCAUUUUUCGAGAAAGCUCAUUGGUCAGUGGGCGGGGUUUUUAUACUCAGUGAGUUCAAUCUGGAACCUAACCUGCCCCGGAGCAGGUUAGCCAUUCAGCGUAUGUUGCAAUGGAGACUCACCUCGCUAAGAAGUGAACCCACAUCUUAGAACAGGAAACCCUGAACUUACCCUCGAAGUUACCUCGCUAAGCAGUAAUCCUGCUUCGUAGAACAGGCCUCUGGCUGUUGUUUUUACACUCUUGUGCUCCAUCUCGUGGCUAAGAAGGACACAAAGAUCCCUUUUUGAGUAGUUUUACCAGAGGUAAUUUUGCUGGCCAAUUUGUAAAAUGCUAGACUGCCACAGUCACUGACCUAGAGCAAAUACAUUACACUGAAUGCUGGCAAGUUGGAAAUGGCAAGAGCAAGAGGUGAAGGUUGGCAUCAGGUGGUGGGUAAAACUCCUCAACCAAGCCAAUCAGCCUGCAGCAACCCGGUCACAUGAACAAUAAGCAGCACACACACACACACACACACACACGCACACACUGAGGCACGCACACACACACACUGAUUGCCACUGCAGAGGAGGGAAGGAGAGAGAGAGCUGCCAAUUUAGAAAUCAAACAACCAAAACAUAAAUGACCACACUCAUAUUAAGUGUUGGCUAAGGGGGACUUCAUGUGGAAAGAAUGAAAGGCUUGUCUCAACUGAAAAGUAAGAAGAGGAUGUUUCUCAGUACAAAAGUAACUGAAUUCCCCUCUGUGGUCAGGUGUGGGCAGUUAAAAAGGUCGAUUUCACAGCACUCUGCCAUCAUGAGUGAAAACAUGUGAAAAUGUUUGAAAGAAUCGAACCCCCCACCCACCCACACCCCAGUGUAACUUCACAGGAAACUCACAAAAACAUUGAUUGGGAAGUAAAACACAGACACACCAUAUUAGCUGGGUUUACUGUGCAUAACACACACACACACUAGGACACACACUAUCACACAUGGUGUAGGCCAAACAGGAUGUGGUUUCUCUGUGUGCCUCUUAGUCACACAGGAAAACAUCUUUCAGUUGAUGUUCAUGUUUCCAGGUAGAGCUGCAGAGAGACACUAAAAACAAAGAAGUGGGAGCUUCAGUUAAGCUAAAAAAUAUGACAUGUAACACGCUUAUAGUUUCAGGAAUGCAAAAUGCACAGUCAGUAUCAUGUAUUCAUUUUCUGGUCAGAAAGAAGCUUUUUUCAUGUCUGCUUUAGAAGGAAAGAUGGUUGUAAACUGUGAAACUUGUCUCAUCUGUCAUGUAUGAGCUCCAAAUUCAAAUAAUGAUCACCCUUCUUCUCUGUUAAGCUCUUUGUGUACUCUGUGUGUGUAUAGAAUUGUCAGGAUUAAAGAGAACAGUGCAGUUCUGAGCAGCAGAGUGAAGAGGCUGACAGUUAGCAGUAAUGACAGUCACAAUAAAAGAAAAAACUAGAAAAAUCUGCCAAAAGGUGGUCGGUGAUGUAUCUCACAACAAGUCUCAUGUUGUAGUUGUUCUGAACAUAUGGCUGCGGUGUAAUCUUCAAGAUCUCUGUGCCAGACAGUAAUUGAAGGAAAUUCAUGUUAGGCAUACUUUAUUGUUGUAUUAAACAACAAUUUUCUUUAUAAAAUAACUAGUUUUAAAAUAUUUAGCUUUAUCCUACAAAAUUCCAGUCUAAAGAUAUAAAGUGCUCCUGUGCCAGUAAUGUUACAUAAUGGUGUUUUUAAAAAGAUAAAACUUGAUUUUUGAAAUUUAUAGACUUUAAUCCUGUUAAUCUACAAUAUUUUCCUUCAGUAUCUCCUCACAAAAAAUGAACUUAUUACAUGAAAUCAUUUUCCUUUUUCAUCCCUUGUAGUCUGAGGUGAAUGGAGCGCAAAUGUUUUCAGACAUAUUUCAUCAUAUAUCAGACAUAUUACCAUCAUCAUAUAAUAAUGCAUAUAAUAAUGACAUAAUUUGAUAAAGAAAACAAUAACAUUAUUUACCUGCUGUCAUACUUUGACCAGAGACCAUAAGAAAAGAAAUACAAAAAAGGGCUGAAUUAUGGUGUUAAAUUAUGAGUAUUAGGUUAAGAGUAGAAGAGCUGACCGCCAUAUUUUCAAGUGAACUUUUUUUUUUUAAAGACAAGGUGCUCUGAUUGCUGUGUAAGCAGAUGUGAGAAAUGCUGCUUUAAAGCUAUGAUGAGGAUGUGAGAGACUGGAAUAAGACUUAAAGGGAAGAGAAAGAUGGAUGAGGGCAGUAAAAGUGAGAACAGUGGGAGGUUUCAGUGCCGUCAUUUUUCCAGAAAAGUUCCCACAACCUUCACCCGAACCAUAGUAUAUAUUUUUUUAAAUCAGAUAUAGACAUUUUGAAGAGCAGUACACUGAGUGUCCACUAGAGGCCGUGUCCUGCAGGGAGUCAGUCCCAUAGACUGUAUAUACUACGGUCAACUUGGUUCCACCUUCCGCCAGUAUACAGAUUUGAAGCCGAAAAGCUCUCGGUAAUUCCCGCUUUUUCUCCACUUCCUGAAACUAACAUUGCGCAGUAGUGUUGUACGCACUCCACCACUUGCGCAGUAACAUUGUACGCAUUUGGCAGGUGAGUCACCGAGAAUCGCUGUGAUGACGCUCUGCUCAAACAGCGUAUUCCUCUGGGUGAGCUACACCAAUAGGCUGUAUCCAGUGUCAAUCAUAAAAAUCAUGAAUCCCCUAAUAACUUUUAAAAAUGGAGCUGUACAGAAAAAAAGGACUUGAGCACAAAACAAUCUCACAGUAACUACAUGUCAACAUCGCAAGCACGGGGAAAAAAAUUAUGUUCUGUGUAAUUAAUUUCUAAAGUUUGUCCAAAGCCCCCUUAAGGAUGGCUGGAGGAGGCGGGAUUAAUGAUCUAUACUGCAGCCAGUCACCAGAGUGUGCUGUUCUCAGGAUGGCUUCACUCAGCCAGGAGGCAGACGGUGUCCAUUCUAUAUACAGUCUGUGGUUAGUCCCCAUCGAGCCCAAUGCUGAAAUGCCCAACUCUACAGCAGAAAUGAACAUGUUUACAGAAACAAUACAGUUAAGGUAUCUGUAGCUUAUUUCUCAAUGCACUACAUUUUUACUUAACUCAUUUGUUUGGAUUCUUGUUUCCCAGCUAAUUGAAAGACUUAUGACCAUAUAUUUUAUAACAACUACACUUCAAGCAAGACAUCAAAAAUAAAAAUAUUCAAAAGACCCUUUCUGCCAUCAAAAGAUCAAAAAUUGAGAAAAAAAUUACAUACAUUGUUGGAAACCCUGCCCCUCUGCUCCUCCUGAGUGGAGCAGCAGCCACACCUGUGCUGGCUGGAGAGCUGGACAGGUGUGAUGAUUGGUGCUCUACUAGAUUGAGCAGAGCACUGAGCUCUGUUUCACUAACAGACUAUGGACAAUGAUGACCUGUUUGCUGCUGAAGAGUGUCAGAAUGUGAGUUUUGUUCAAUUUGAGACCUUUUUUGCAUCUUUGUUGACUUCGGAUUAAUUUAACCUUAAAUUCAAUAAUGAAAUAUUUUAAACUGUUUGAAGGAUGUUUUAUUUGCCAUGAAUGCACAUUUUGUUAUUAUUUCUUGGUUUUUACUCCAGAAACACCACUUUGCAGCAUACCAUACCAAUCUGUCAAAUAAACCCUUUAAACUGGAUCCUGCUGUCUUCUGCGAGCUCAUUUGUCACCUCACCUCAUGCUCAAUUUUGAUCUCAGCCCUUAAACUAAUCCAACAUACAUUGUUAAGAGAAAAAGAAGCAAGACAGUCAAUGCUCUAAAAAUUAGUUAUAGUGAUAGAUUUGAAGUUUGUUGCAACAAAUAUGUAUUUAUUUUUCGAGAAAAAACACAAAUGUAACGUGUUUGAAAAAGUAAUUAUUCAAAUUUCAGAAAUAUAAAAUAAGAUGGAUAAAAUUCGAUACUGAGGGAAAAGAAUUGGAAAAAAAAAAUUGAAUUUAAGAAAAAAAGUUUAGAUACAUUUUCAGGACAAACAUGAAAUAAAAAAAGGUUUGAAUUUUCUGUCUUGAAUAAAAUACCAAAAAAGAAAAUAUGUGAAAAAAGUAAGAUUCAUUUUUGAGGAAAAAAUGUAAAAUUAAAAAUUGAGGGGUAAAAUGGCUGAAUUCCAUUUAUUUUCUAAGAAGUUGAAAAGAAUAAGGAUUUAAACAAUUCUUUGAUGAAAAACAAUGAAAAUCUAAAAUAAAACAUUGAAGUGAUCUUUGAAAAGAAAGGCAAAACAAAGACGAGAAAGAAGUUGUGAUUUACAUUUUUGAGUGAAAGCUGCUCAGUCUUUGCGUCUGCUGUACUGUUCAUCACUGCUUGUUAAAGGUGUAGAUGAAUUACUUGUAGUUGACUUCAACAGUCAUUAUUCAUCAUCAUCUAAAGCCAGUACAGGUUGACAGACAUUACAUUAAGAGGAGGAGUGGGUGGAGUAGCAUAAAGAUAAUCUACGGCCAGCAGAACAGGAACACACACACACACACACACACACACAC